rnacentral:rRNA from 1 species
AUUGAACGCUGGCGGCAUGCCUAACACAUGCAAGUCGAGCGGAUGAAGGGAGCUUGCUCCUGGAUUCAGUGGCGGACGGGUGAGUAAUGCCUAGGAAUCUGCCUGGUAGUGGGGGAUAACGUCCGGAAACGGGCGCUAAUCCCGCAUCCGUCCUGAGGUAGAAAGUGGGGGUUCUUCGGACCUCACGGUAUUAGCUGAGCCUAGGACGGAUUAGCUAGGUGGUGGGGUAAAGGCCUACCAAGGCGACGAUGCGUAACUGGUCUGAGAGGAUGAUCAGCCACACUGGAACUGAGACACGGUCCAGACUCCUACGGGAGGCAGCAGUGGGGAAUAUUGGGCAAUGGGCGAAAGCCUGAUGCAGCAAUGCCGCGUGUGUGAUGAAGGUCUUCGGAUUGUAAAGCUCUUUAAGUAGGGAGGAAGAGAAGUAAGUUUAUACCUUGCUGUUUUGACGGUACCAACAGAAUAAGCACCGGCUAACUUCGUG